CCCAUGGUGGGUCAGUGGUAGAAUUCUCGCCUUCCAUGCGGGAGACCUGGGUUUGAUCCCCAGCCAAUGCA
rnacentral:tRNA from 1 species